CCUUAGUUGGUGGACCAAUUUGUCUGGUUAAUUCCGAUAACGAACGAGACUCCAGCCUGCUAAUUAGUGCAUCUGUCCACUGUUCCUGUGUAGGCGGCGUUUGGCAAGGCUGCUGCUGUCUGCUGCUUGGUGGUUGAUGAACCUUCGGGGGAGUUACUGCCGAGUGGCUUUGUGGUGGCUGGUCCUGCGUUAGCUUCCGGGUACGGCGCGGGUGCUUACUUCUUAGAGGGACAAGCGGGAGAAGCCGCACGAAAUUGAGCAAUAACAGGUCUGUGAUGCCCUUAGAUGUCCGGGGCCGCACGCGCGCUACAAUGACGGUGCCAACGAGUCUGACCCCCUGGCCCGAAAGGGUUGGGUAAACUGGUCAAUCACCGUCAUGACAGGGAUCGGGGCUUGGAAUUGUUCCCCGUGAACGAGGAAUUCCUAGUAAGUGCAAGUCAUAAGCUUGCGCUGAUUACGUCCCUGCCCUUUGUACACACCGCCCGUCGCUACUACCGAUUGAAUGGUUUAGUAAGGUCCUUGGAUUGGCGCCAUUGUGGUGGUUACCGAAAGGUGGCUGCCCGACAGGUGCUGAGAAGACGACCAAACUUGAUCAUUUAGAGNAAGUAA
rnacentral:rRNA from 1 species